rnacentral:rRNA from 1 species
AUUGAACGCUGGCGGCAGGCCUAACACAUGCAAGUCGAGCGGAUGAGAGGAGCUUGCUUCUCGAUUCAGCGGCGGACGGGUGAGUAGUGCCUAGAAAUCUGCCUGGUAGUGGGGGACAACGUUUCGAAAGGAACGCUAAUACCGCAUACGUCCUACGGGAGAAAGCAGGGGACCUUCGGGCCUUGCGCUAUCAGAUGAGCCUAGGUCGGAUUAGCUAGUUGGUGAGGUAAUGGCUCACCAAGGCGACGAUCCGCAACUGGUCUGAGAGGAUGAUCAGUCACACUGGAACUGAGACACGGUCCAGACUCCUACGGGAGGCAGCAGUGGGGAAUAUUGGACAAUGGGCGAAAGCCUGAUCCAGCCAUGCCGCGUGUGUGAAGAAGGUCUUCGGAUUGUAAAGCACUUUAAGUUGGGAGGAAGGGUUGUAGAUUAAUACUCUGCAAUUUUGACGUUACCGACAGAAUAAGCACCGGCUAACUCUGUGCCAGCCGCCGCAGUAACAC